UGGGGAAUAUUGCGCAAUGGGGGCAACCCUGACGCAGCCAUGCCGCGUGAAUGAAGAAGGCCUUCGGGUUGUAAAGUUCUUUCGGUAGCGAGGAAGGCAUUUAGUUUAAUAGACUAGGUGAUUGACGUUAACUACAGAAGAAGCACCGGCUAACUCCGUGCCAGCAGCCGCGGUAAUACGGAGGGUGCGAGCGUUAAUCGGAAUAACUGGGCGUAAAGGGCACGCAGGCGGUGACUUAAGUGAGGUGUGAAAGCCCCGGGCUUAACCUGGGAAUUGCAUUUCAUACUGGGUCGCUAGAGUACUUUAGGGAGGGGUAGAAUUCCACGUGUAGCGGUGAAAUGCGUAGAGAUGUGGAGGAAUACCGAAGGCGAAGGCAGCCCCUUGGGAAUGUACUGACGCUCAUGUGCGAAAGCGUGGGGAGCAAACAGGAUUAGAUACCCUGGUAGUCCACGCUGUAAACGAUGUCGAUUUGGGGGUUGAACUAUAAGUUUGGCGCCCGUAGCUAACGUGAUAAAUCGACCGCCUGGGGAGUACGGCCGCAAGGUUA
rnacentral:rRNA from 1 species